UCGGGUGUGGUGCAUGGUGCACGGCGACUCGCGUUCAUUCCGCAGGUUGAGGUUGUUUAUAGACUGCAGCCCGGGGUUCGACUCCCCGCACCUGAA